AGCUUCGGCUUGUCAUAUUUUGGCUAUAUAUAUUUAAUUUCAAAGUAAGUAGUGAGUGAAAUUAAAUCUAUAUUGUAACCCAAGUAUAUCUAGGCAUAGAGUAAACUUGGGAAUACUAAAUAUGAAUAUCGACUAUGUCGAAUAAUCUUCUAGAUGGUAAUUCUGAUAAUGACAGUGUUUCAUCUAAAAGUCUUGACCAAAUUACGUGCCAGCAGUCGCGGUAAUACGUAGAAGACUAGUGUUAUUCAUCUUUAAUAGGUUUAAAGGGUACCUAGACUGCCUAACUAGCCUACAAUAAGGAACGGUUAGAGCUAGAGUUUUAUAUGAGGAGGGGAGUAUUGAUGGUGGAGAGAUGAAAUUUUUUUAUACCUUACAGACUGGUAGAGGCGAAAGCAACCUUUUAUCUAAAAACUGACGUUGAGGGACGAAGGCUUGGGUCACGAACAGGAUUAGAUACCCUAGUAGUCCUUGCAGACAAUUAUGAGUGCCAUAGGCUAGAUGAUUUUUUAGUUUAUAAAUGAAAGUGUAAGCAUUCCACCUCAAGAGUAAUGUGGCAACGCAGGAACUGAAACCAUUAGACCGUUUCUGAAACCAGUAGUGAAGUAUGUUAUUCAAUUCGAUGGCCCUCGAAAAACCUUACCACAACUUGAAUGUUAUCUAUUGUUUAUACUUUAGAUUUUACAAGCGUUGCACGGCUGUCUUCAGUUAAUGUCGUGAGAUUUUGGUUAGUUCCAUAAAAUUAACGAAAACCCUUGCUUUAUUUAUAAAAACCCCCUUUGAAAUAGAGCUGAUCGCCACUAUAUUGGAUAUGAUAAGA
rnacentral:rRNA from 1 species